AACGAACGCUGGCGGCAGGCCUAACACAUGCAAGUCGAACGGGUGUAGCAAUACAUCAGUGGCGCACGGGUGAGUAACGCGUGGGAACGUGCCCUUCACUACGGAACAACGUCGGGAAACUGACGCUAAUACCGUAUAAUGUCUCCGGACCAAAGAUUUAUCGGUGAAGGAUCGGCCCGCGUCUGAUUAGCUAGUUGGUGAGGUAAAAGCUCACCAAGGCGACGAUCAGUAGCUGGUUUGAGAGAAUGAUCAGCCACACUGGGACUGAGACACGGCCCAGACUCCUACGGGAGGCAGCAGUGAGGAAUCUUGGACAAUGGGCGCAAGCCUGAUCCAGCCAUGCCGCGUGAGUGAUGAAGGCCUUAGGGUUGUAAAGCUCUUUUGGCGGGGAUGAUAAUGACCGUACCCGCAGAAUAAGCCACGGCUAAAUUCGUG
rnacentral:rRNA from 1 species